UACGGAGGGUGCGAGCGUUGUUCGGAAUCACUGGGCGUAAAGCGCGUGUAGGCGGCCCACUAAGUCUGAUGUGAAAGCCCGAGGCUCACCCUCGGAAGUGCAUUGGAAACUGGUGGACUCGAGUCCCGGAGAGGAGAGUGGAAUUCCUGGUGUAGCGGUGAAAUGCGUAGAUAUCAGGAGGAACACCGGUGGCGAAGGCGGCUCUCUGGACGGUGACUGACGCUGAGGUGCGAAAGCGUGGGGAGCAAACAGG
rnacentral:rRNA from 1 species